CAGUCGCCGCGGUAAUACGGGGGGUGCAAGCGUUAAUCGGAAUUACUGGGCGUAAAGCGCACGCAGGCGGUUUGUUAAGUCAGAUGUGAAAUCCCCGAGCUUAACUUGGGAACUGCAUUUGAAGCUGGCAAGCUAGAGUCUUGUAGAGGGGGGUAGAAUUCCAGGUGUAGCGGUGAAAUGCGUAGAGAUCUGGAGGAAUACCGGUGGCGAAGGCGGCCCCCUGGACAAAGACUGACGCUCAGGUGCGAAAGCGUGGGGAGCAAACAGGAUUAGAUACCCCAGUAGUCCCUGUCUCUUAUAC
rnacentral:rRNA from 1 species